rnacentral:rRNA from 1 species
UCAGACGUGAUUACCUGCUGAGCUUAAGCUUAUCAGUAAGCAGAGGAAAAGAAWCUAACRAG